UUGCCGUAGGUGAACCUUCGGCAGGAUCAUUAACAUUAUCUUCUUUUUAAACCCUAUGUGAACCCCGCUGAGUGCUGGCAACGGCACGAAGCACCGUUUUUUUUAAAACAAACGCAAUUAAUUCACAGUUUGCUGAUUUCAAAACAAAAAAGCUUCUGGAAACAGAUGCGAUUUAAUGAAAACACAACUGUUAACAAUGGAUAUCUUGGCUCUU
rnacentral:misc_RNA from 1 species